UCUCCGUAGGUGAACCUGCGGAGGGAUCAUUACUGAGUGAGGGCUUCGGUCCGACCUCCAACCCUUUGUGAACCAAACUUGUUGCUUCGGGGGCGACCCUGCCGCUUCGGCGGUGGCGCUCCCGGUGGACCACCCAACCCUGCAUCGUUGCGUCUGAGUCGAAAUAUAAAUCAAUCAAAACUUUCAACAACGGAUCUCUUGGUUCUGGCAUCGAUGAAGAACGCAGC
rnacentral:misc_RNA from 1 species